GUAUCCGAAGGCAAGAAGCUCAAUUACGAAAGUAGCUUUAUAUUUCUGAACCCACGAAAGCUAAGGUACAAACUGGGAUUAGAUACCCCACUAUGCUUAGCCAUAAACAUUGACAGUACUUAACAUUUUCUGUCCGCCCGGGGACUACGAGCACCAGCUUAAAACCCAAAGGACUUGGCGGUGCUUUAGACCCACCUAGAGGAGCCUGUUCUAGAACCGAUACUCCCCGUUCAACCUCACCCCUCCUUGCCAAUCCCGCCUAUAUACCACCGUCGUCAGCUUACCCUYUGAGGGACAAAUAGUAAGCAAAACUGGCAUUGCCCAGCACGUCAGGUCGAGGUGUAGCGAAUGGAGGGGGAAGAAAUGGGCUACAUUCCCUUACCGACAGGGAACUACGAAUGGUGCACUGAAAACGUGCUCCUGAAGGAGGAUUUAGCAGUAAAAGGAAAAUAGAGAGUUCCUUUGAAGCCGGCUCUUAAGCGCGCACACACCGCCCGUCACUCUCCCCGAGACCUAAACUUACUUUAACUAAAACGCCAGAAUCACAGAGGGGAGGCAAGUCGUAA
rnacentral:rRNA from 1 species